ensembl:lncRNA
UGUGUGUGUGUGUGUGUGUGUGUGUGUGUGUGUGUGUGUGUGUGUGUGUGUGUGUGUGUGUGUGUGUGUGUGUGUGUGUGUGUGUGUGUGUGUGUGUGUGUGAGUGUGGGGGAGCGCGCAUGUGUGUGUGUGUGUGUGUGUGUGUGUGUGUGUGUGUGUGUGUGUGUGUGUGUGUGUGUGUGUGUGUGUGUGUGUGUGUGUGUGUGUGUGUGUGUGUGUGUGUGUGUGUGUGUGUGUGUGUGUGUGUGUGUGUGUGCAGGGAG